UACGUAGGGUGCGAGCGUUGUCCGGAUUUAUUGGGAGUAAAGAGCUCGUAGGCGGUCUGUCGCGUCUGCUGUGAAAACUCGGGGCUUAACCCCGAGCCUGCAGUGGGUACGGGCAGACUAGAGUGUGGUAGGGGAGACUGGAAUUCCUGGUGUAGCGGUGGAAUGCGCAGAUAUCAGGAGGAACACCGAUGGCGAAGGCAGGUCUCUGGGCCACAACUGACGCUGAGGAGCGAAAGCGUGGGGAGCGAACAGG
rnacentral:rRNA from 1 species